UAGAGUUUGAUCAUGGCUCAGAUUGAACGCUGGCGGCAGGCCUAACACAUGCAAGUCGAGCGGAAACGAGAAUAGCUUGCUAUUCGGCGUCGAGCGGCGGACGGGUGAGUAAUGCCUGGGAAAUUGCCCUGAUGUGGGGGAUAACCAUUGGAAACGAUGGCUAAUACCGCAUAAUAGCUUCGGCUUAAAGAGGGGGACCUUCGGGCCUCUCGCUUCAGGAUAUGCCCAGGUGGGAUUAGCUAGUUGGUGAGGUAAAGGCUCACCAAGGCGACGAUCCCUAGCUGGUCUGAGAGGAUGAUCAGCCACACUGGAACUGAGACACGGUCCAGACUCCUACGGGAGGCAGCAGUGGGGAAUAUUGCACAAUGGGCGCAAGCCUGAUGCAGCCAUGCCGCGUGUAUGAAGAAGGCCUUCGGGUUGUAAUGUACUUUCAGCAGUGAGGAAGGGUGUGUAGUUAAUAGCUGCAUACUUUGACGUUAGCUGCAGAAGAAGCUCCGGCUAACUCCGUGCCAGCAGCCGCGGUAAUACGGAGGGUGCGAGCGUUAAUCGGAAUUACUGGGCGUAAAGCGCAUGCAGGUGGUUUGUUAAGUCAGAUGUGAAAGCCCGGGGCUCAACCUCGGAACCGCAUUUGAAACUGGCAGGCUAGAGUACUGUAGAGGGGGGUAGAAUUUCA
rnacentral:rRNA from 1 species